AACGAACGCUGGCGGCAGGCUUAACACAUGCAAGUCGAACGCACCGCAAGGUGAGUGGCAGACGGGUGAGUAACACGUGGGGAUCUGCCCAAUGGUACGGAAUAGCUCCGGGAAACUGGAAUUAAUACCGUAUGAGCCCGCAAGGGGAAAGAUUUAUCGCCAUUGGAUGAACCCGCGUCGGAUUAGCUAGUUGGUGUGGUAAAGGCGAACCAAGGCGACGAUCCGUAGCUGGUCUGAGAGGAUGAUCAGCCACACUGGGACUGAGACACGGCCCAGACUCCUACGGGAGGCAGCAGUGGGGAAUAUUGGACAAUGGGCGCAAGCCUGAUCCAGCCAUGCCGCGUGAGUGAUGAAGGCCUUAGGGUUGUAAAGCUCUUUUACCCGGGAUGAUAAUGACAGUACCGGGAGAAUAAGCUCCGGCUAACUCCGUGCCAGCCGCCGCGGUAACAC
rnacentral:rRNA from 1 species